CAUAGGUUAAUGAGGCGAACCGGGGGAACUGAAACAUCUAAGUACCCCGAGGAAAAGAAAUCAACCGAGAUUCCCCCAGUAGCGGCGAGCGAACGGGGAGCAGCCCAGAGCCUGAAUCAGUGUGUGUGUUAGUGGAAGCGUCUGGAAAGGCGCGCGAUACAGGGUGACAGCCCCGUACACAAAAAUGCACAUACUGUGAGCUCGAUGAGUAGGGCGGGACACGUGGUAUCCUGUCUGAAUAUGGGGGGACCAUCCUCCAAGGCUAAAUACUCCUGACUGACCGAUAGUGAACCAGUACCGUGAGGGAAAGGCGAAAAGAACCCCGGCGAGGGGAGUGAAAAAGAACCUGAAACCGUGUACGUACAAGCAGUGGGAGCACGCUUAGGCGUGUGACUGCGUACCUUUUGUAUAAUGGGUCAGCGACUUAUAUUCUGUAGCAAGGUUAACCGAAUAGGGGAGCCGAAGGGAAACCGAGUCUUAACUGGGCGUUAAGUUGCAGGGUAUAGACCCGAAACCCGGUGAUCUAGCCAUGGGCAGGUUGAAGGUUGGGUAACACUAACUGGAGGACCGAACCGACUAAUGUUGAAAAAUUAGCGGAUGACUUGUGGCUGGGGGUGAAAGGCCAAUCAAACCGGGAGAUAGCUGGUUCUCCCCGAAAGCUAUUUAGGUAGCGCCUCGUGAAUUCAUCUCCGGGGGUAGAGCACUGUUUCGGCAAGGGGGUCAUCCCGACUUACCAACCCGAUGCAAACUGCGAAUACCGGAGAAUGUUAUCACGGGAGACACACGGCGGGUGCUAACGUCCGUCGUGAAGAGGGAAACAACCCAGACCGCCAGCUAAGGUCCCAAAGUCAUGGUUAAGUGGGAAACGAUGUGGGAAGGCCCAGACAGCCAGGAUGUUGGCUUAGAAGCAGCCAUCAUUUAAAGAAAGCGUAAUAGCUCACUGGUCGAGUCGGCCUGCGCGGAAGAUGUAACGGGGCUAAACCAUGCACCGAAGCUGCGGCAGCGACGCUGAUGCGUUGUUGGGUAGGGGAGCGUUCUGUAAGCCUGUGAAGGUGUGCUGUGAGGCAUGCUGGAGGUAUCAGAAGUGCGA
rnacentral:rRNA from 1 species